rnacentral:rRNA from 1 species
GACGAACGCUGGCGGCGUGCCUAAUACAUGCAAGUCGAACGCAGUGGGGACGGGUGAGUAACACGUGGGUAACCUCCCAUCAGAGGGGAUAACACUUGGAAACAGGUGCUAAACCGAUACUGAUGGAUGGACCCGCGGUGCAUUAGCUAGUAGGUGGGGUAACGGCGGACCUAGGCCACGAUCCCUAGCUGGUCUGAGAGGAUGACCAGCCACACUGAAACUGAGAAACGGUCCAGACGCCUACGGGAGGCAGCAGUGGGGAAUAUUGCACAAUGGGCGCAAGCCUGAUGCAGCCAUGCCGCGUGAGGGAUGAAGGCUUUCGGGUUGUAAACCUCUUUCGGUACAGAACGGGUAUGUGCAGAAGAAGCGCCGGCUAACUACGUGCCAGCCGCCGCGGUAAUAC